rnacentral:rRNA from 1 species
GACGAACGCUGGCGGCGUGCCUAACACAUGCAAGUCGAACGGGACUCAGCCCUUCGGGACUGAGUUUAGUGGCGAACGGGUGAGUAACGCGUGAGGAACCUGCCUUUCAGUGGGGGACAACAGUUGGAAACGACUGCUAAUACCGCAUAAUGCUUUCGAGCGGCAUCGCUUGAAAGCCAAAGAUUUAUUGCUGAAAGAUGGCCUCGCGUCUGAUUAGCUAGUUGGUGGGGUAACGGCUCACCAAGGCGACGAUCAGUAGCCGGUCUGAGAGGAUGAACGGCCACAUUGGGACUGAGAUACGGCCCAGACUCCUACGGGAGGCAGCAGUGGGGAAUAUUGGGCAAUGGGGGAAACCCUGAUGCAGCGACGCUGCGUGGAGGAAGAAGGUCUUCGGAUUGUAAACUCCUGUUGUUGAGGAAGAUAAUGACGGUACUCAACAAGGAAGUGACGGCUAACUACGUG